rnacentral:rRNA from 1 species
CAUGCAAGUCGAGCGGUAGAGAGAAGCUUGCUUCUCUUGAGAGCGGCGGACGGGUGAGUAAUGCCUAGGAAUCUGCCUGGUAGUGGGGGAUAACGCUCGGAAACGGACGCUAAUACCGCAUACGUCCUACGGGAGAAAGCAGGGGACCUUCGGGCCUUGCGCUAUCAGAUGAGCCUAGGUCGGAUUAGCUAGUUGGUGGGGUAAUGGCUCACCAAGGCGACGAUCCGUAACUGGUCUGAGAGGAUGAUCAGUCACACUGGAACUGAGACACGGUCCAGACUCCUACGGGAGGCAGCAGUGGGGAAUAUUGGACAAUGGGCGAAAGCCUGAUCCAGCCAUGCCGCGUGUGUGAAGAAGGUCUUCGGAUUGUAAAGCACUUUAAGUUGGGAGGAAGGGCAGUAACCUAAUACGUUGCUGUCUUGACGUUACCGACAGAAUAAGCACCGGCUAACUCUGUGCCAGCAGCCGCGGUAAUACAGAGGGUGCAAGCGUUAAUCGGAAUUACUGGGCGUAAAGCGCGCGUAGGUGGUUUGUUAAGUUGGAUGUGAAAUCCCCGGGCUCAACCUGGGAACUGCAUUCAAAACUGACAAGCUAGAGUAUGGUAGAGGGUGGUGGAAUUUCCUGUGUAGCGGUGAAAUGCGUAGAUAUAGGAAGGAACACCAGUGGCGAAGGCGACCACCUGGACUGAUACUGACACUGAG